rnacentral:lncRNA from 1 species
AACAGUGAUACAUGCACACGAAACUAUGAAAUAAAAACAUCAGACAUCAUACUGCAUUUAAAACUGUAAAAUAGAACAAACAACAACUGACCGACAAAUACACUAGACUCGGGCUCCAUUAGCAACCUUAAAUAAUUUCACACAGCUAUUGAUUCAUGAAAUACCAUUUUAUCAUUUAUUGCACUUUAAUACCGUGAUAGAAAAUAGGGUGAGGAAUCCUUACUUAUUUUCGGGACCCGAAAUAGGCUUUUCCGAGUGCCUGCGGGUUAUCCCUAAAUUUUCUGAAUUUUUUUCCGAAA